rnacentral:rRNA from 1 species
AAGAACGCAGCGAAAUGCGAUACGUAGUGUGAAUUGCAGAAUUCCGCGAAUCAUCGAGUCUUUGAACGCAAGUUGCGCCCGAGGCUUGUCCAAGGGCAUUUCCGCUAGAGCGUCACCGCGCCCCCCACCGAUCCACUCUCGCCGCGAGGCGACAGUCGGGUCGAGUGAAAGUGGCCGUCCCGGUUUUUUUCCUAAGUGUUGGUCUUCGCGAGAAGGCCCUCCUUAGUAGAAGAAGGGUCGGCUGAAAUGGAUGGAAUUGGGCCGCCGUGGUGACACAGUCCGCGAUCGGGUGAUUUUGUCGCGAGCCUCCUCCGGGAGGGUCGCGGUGAAUUUUUCUAAGUGCGAGUCUGCGUCCCCCAGUUGGCUUUGGUUACCUCAUGCAGGUCGAGCGCGCCCCCCGCGGCGCGCGUCACGCAUCAGACCUCUAAUCGGAAAAGACUACCCGCUGAGUUUAAGCAUAUCAAUAA